AACGAACGCUGGCGGCAUGCCUAACACAUGCAAGUCGAACGAGACCUUCGGGUCUAGUGGCGCACGGGUGCGUAACGCGUGGGAACCUGCCCUUAUGUUCGGAAUAACUCCCCGAAAGGGGUUCUAAUACCGGAUAAUGUCUUCGGACCAAAGAUUUAUCGCCUUUGGAUGGGCCCGCGUUGGAUUAGCUAGUUGGUAGGGUAAACGCCUACCAAGGCGACGAGCCAUAGCUGGUCUGAGAGGAUGAUCAGCCACACUGGGACUGAGACACGGCCCAGACUCCUACGGGAGGCAGCAGUGGGGAAUAUUGGACAAUGGGCGAAAGCCUGAUCCAGCAAUGCCGCGUGAGUGAUGAAGGCCUUAGGGUUGUAAAGCUCUUUUACCCGGGAUGAUAAUGACAGUACCGGGAGAAUAAGCUCCGGCUAACUCCGUG
rnacentral:rRNA from 1 species